UUUGUUCUCAAUUCUUUUUUUUUUUAUCAAUAAUCCCAUUAUUCUCUAUGAUUCUUUAUUCCAUACUGUAUUUCUGCUUUUUUUAGUAUCUGUUCUUUAUUUUUUUUUCUUUAUUUUGCACUUUUUGUCAUUAUUUUCUAUAUUCUUAAACCCCAUUCUUGAUUCCAGACCAUCAUAUAUAUAUAUAUAUAUAUACGUAAAUGUACGAAAGCUUGCAUGGUACGUCGAAUACGGAAACCCGGAAAUCUUAUCACCGUUACAGAUUUUUAUUCUAUGACGCCAAAUCCAUGGACGCUCACGCGAUCACUGUUGUCAUUUAAAAAGUUUGAAUGGACAGAGAUAAGAUGAUACAAAGAACUUUCAAAAUGGUGAAUCAAAAUUUAUUAUAAACAGAUAAAUUGAAAUGGGUGACUUGUCGAUAAACUGGAAGAAACCGGGGAACGAAACAUAGAAAAUUUAGAAUCUAUAGAAAGUCAACGCAACGAAACAGCGAAAGUGUUUUUGUUUUGAUGGAUAGUUUUACGUACCCUAAAAGCACAACGAAAGCAUUUUCAAUGAAAGUACAUUUUGUACUUCAAGAAGUAGAAGAAUCUAAGCAACAGAACAGAAUUCAUUUGAGGCAUUGCUUUCUAGAUUAUAUAAUGGAUUCAUAGAUUGUCAUAUUGAUUUAAGUGCAUAUAAGGAGCAGCAGGCAAUAAUUAUUUUGUGAUGAGAGCUUGUUACCAUGGUUACCAAAUGAAAGGAAAGUGCAGUAUUAGAAUCACUGGUGUACAUGUAGGUGCGGAUGUCAGGCAAAAAGAACUGGUAUCAAAGAACUGAAAAGUAAAGAAACAGAACCAAAGAACAUUAAUUUUUGAUUAAUACAAUAUUGAGCUCAAAGUCAAUCUAGUUGUCUUUCUUAAUCAUACAGGAUAUUUCCAAAAAGCAGCUGCAUACACAUGCACCAGUAAUAGCCAGCAGUGUAGACAAUUACAUAUCUGUGUAUGGUGAUAUAGCAAUAGAAAUAUCACAUACAUCAUUGGAAAACAUAAUAUAGACAAUAGAAAUGGAGUACACAUGUAUGUCAAAGAGACACACAUAUGAAAAUAGAAUAUAGACAAUAGAAAUGUAGUAUGUCAAAGAGACACACAUAUGAAAAUAGAAUAUAGACAAUAGAAAUGGGGUAUGUCAAAGAGACAAACAUAUGAAAAUAUAAUAUAGACAAUAGAAAUGGGGUAUGUCAAAGAGACACACAUAUGAAAAUAUAAUAUAGACAAUAGAAAUGGGGUAUGUAAAAGAGACACACAUAUGAAAAUAUAAUAUAGACAAUAGAAAUGGAGUAUGUCAAAGAGACAAACAUAUGAAAAUAUAAUAUAGACAAUAGAAAUGGAGUAUGUCAAAGAGACAAACAUAUGAAAAUAGAAUAUAGACAAUAGAAAUGGAGUAUGUCAAAGAGACACACAUAUGAACAUAUAAUAUAGACAAUAGAAAUGUGGUAUGUCAAAGAGACUCACAUAUGAAAAUAGAAUAUAGACAAUAGAAAUGGAGUAUGUCAAAGAGACACACAUAUGAAAAUAUAAUAUAGACAAUAGAAAUGGGGUAUGUCAAAGAGACACACAUAUGAAAAUAGAAUAUAGACAAUAGAAAUAUGGUACAAUGUAUGUCAAAGAGACAAAAAUAUGAAAAUAGAAGAGACAACAACUUAAUAAAAAAAAAUUCUACUUUAUAUAAAAAUUAUGGAGCACUUAUUGUUUUUUAUUUGUUUGAGCUUUUGAUUUUGCCAUGUAUUUUCUGUGGAAUUUGGUAAUUUGGGUUUUUUACUUUUUAAAGCAACAACUCAUCACAAUGAAGUAUUUACACUCAAAAUUAGUUCCUGACAGAAAAAAAAAGAUAACAAAUUAAAGAAAAACAUAUUAAAAAACAUCAAAACAUUACCCUUAAAAACCUAUCGCAAAAAAAAUACAUAUAUAUAAAAACCAUGUUUAGAAUCUAUGAGAAAAUAAAUGCAUUUGAACAAUUAAAAACAUAUAAAAAAUAUAUAUUUAAGACCAAGAUAAAAUCAC